UGAACCUACAGUGAUGAAACAGUCCAGAAUGAAUGAGGAACUCAAAUAGUUUGUGUGUAUGUUUUAUUAAGCUAAUAGUUUAUAUUUUGCUGCUAAGACUGUUUUGUUCAACUGCAGCUCACGUUCAUUGUCAUUGUGCGGUGGCUUCCAGGAUCACCCAACCUCACACUUUUUUAAAAGUGGGAUUACAUCAAAAUACUUUGUCCCACCAAUGCCACAUGAUGUUGCAGACCUAAGGGAAUGCAUCAGUGCAGCAGUAGACAGUUUUGAUAGAACCAUGUUGAUGCAUGUGUGGCAAGAACUAGAC
rnacentral:lncRNA from 1 species